CCAAUUUUAGUUGGAAAACCUGUUCAAGCGUUUAUGUCAUUGUUUCAAGCCUUUUCAAAAGGAUUACCUAAUAAUCCUGUAUCAAUGAUAUUGUCUAUAUCGGUUCAUCUGUAUCCAACCUUAUUCCUUUUCUUUCUUCAUCCCUUCUAUGAAACUGUAUUGUAAUUGCACUCAUAUUCGACUAUAUUUUAUUGGUAUAGACAUGACUGGGUAUAGAUGCAGAUGUAUGUCUUCAACUUGGUUGACCUGUAAAUCACCUAAAAGAUGAACCAGCAUGGCUCAGACAUGCAUAGCCUUUUGAGCCGGUGAAGGCUCGGAUAACUGAUACAUGGGUGAUCGUGGUGAUCGCCUCACUCCGGCUUGCAGUGAUGUUGGCAUAAAAAGAAUUGGAAUGAAUGCUUAUGUUCAGAUACGACCCUUCAAAGUUAUGGAUAUUCCUACACAGGGCGCCCCUCAAUUUACCUUACAGAGGUAAUCAACGGUGGUGGCAAGGAUUUGGAAGGUCCAUAUGAGCUCCUCCUUCUGGUGAUGUUAGGCAGUGAGGUGAUUGGAAAGAUCUUCCUUGUCUCUCCACAUCUGGGUGACCCAUGCCUAACUGAAGAUCCUAAGACCCUUCAAAGCUACGGAUAUUCCUACAGGUAAAUGAGCGCCCUAACACAUGCAACUUCAGCUACAAUGCAGCUAGCAGCACAAAUUUAUUUAUCACCAGUGAACCUACUGCUUAUGCAAUUGAACAAAUGAAUGGGCUUACAGGUCGACAUGGUUGCUUGUACGUGCAUUUCUC